UGAGUAACCUGCCCUUAACUCUGGGAUAAGCCUGGGAAACUGGGUCUAAUACCGGAUAUGACUCCUCAUCGCAUGGUGGGGGGUGGAAAGCUUUUUGUGGUUUUGGAUGGACUCGCGGCCUAUCAGCUUGUUGGUGAGGUAAUGGCUCACCAAGGCGACGACGGGUAGCCGGCCUGAGAGGGUGACCGGCCACACUGGGACUGAGCACGGCCCAGACUCCUACGGGAGGCAG
rnacentral:rRNA from 1 species